rnacentral:lncRNA from 1 species
GGGAGUCUUGCGCUCGUUUGGUGUGUUAGUUAUAACCUCCCUUUUAUAAAAUUCAGUCAUCAACUGUGAUUCAUGAAUUAACUUUCAGUCAUAAUCAGAGCUGUAUGUCACUUUUGUAACUUCUGAAAAUGUUGAUCAACUCAUGUUGUGUUCCUCCUUCCUGACAGCAAAAUCAAAACAUGAGUUUUUUCAUUAAGUUCUCUUAUCAAAGACUCAUUUCUUUUACUUUCUCUGAAUCUGGACACAUUGAUGCAUUUCUGCAUGACAUGACUCUUUUGGAAUGUUCACUGAAUUCAUGAAUCAUUUCACAGAAUACUAUUUUUGGAUGAAGGUCUGGAACAGAUAUUAUGCAAACCCUGCAACUCUACUGGUGCACGCUGCCUUGCAGGGAAUGAAGUUACGCCAUCAAAAUAUUCAGACAAAUAUUGACAACUAGCUGUGCAAACUGAGCGUUUCCUCUGUGAACUGUGAAUCUGGGGCCCCUUCAGGGACUCAUGACUGCGAGUUUCAUACAGUUCAAAGGCCAGAUUUAGUUUGAUGUGGGUGAGUACUUCAGAGCUUAAGACACAACAGCUAGUUUUCAAACUUCAUUAUAUUUUUCUUAUAUCAGAUGA